CGGAGAUGGCGUCCGGCGCAGCGCCUGGGGUACCUCAUGAAUGUCUCCCGCCACCGCAAACACUAUGCAGGUUGGAGCGCGGUGCGUAAACCAUCAGCCAAGGACAGGCUUACCAAUGGCAAGGCUGAUUGCCUCCAAGACCAGGAGUAUGUCCUUAUUUAUGAAGACAAGGAAGACGAUGCUAGUUGGUCACCUUCGGUGGGAUAUCCUUACUACUAUCUGCCGGAAACUGAAAAGCAUGAGAGGAUCUGAUGUUGCUGGAAUAGGCGCUUUUGAUCUUUAUAUAUUACAGAACAUAAAGAAGAUCAGCAAAGGAUCAAAAGCUCACAUAAAAUAUUUGCUGUAUUUCAGAGUAUGCUGAAGCAAGUUUUCGGUGAAAGUGAUUCCAAUCAAGUGGUGCCCCAAGUGGAUGGCACUGUGAAGGAGGUCAUCCACCGUGGCCCUUUGAUGAUCGAGGGCAAUUGCUUUCUACCCUGACGAUGACGAAGACCUGAGCCGCAAGCACAAAUUUAAUAUCUGGCGUGGCAAGAUCGAUGGCAGAGGUCCUGGUCUUUAUGAUGAGGCAUCAUUGGAAUUUGCUAUGAUCCUUCUCUCCGGUGUUUACUUCAGUUUAUAAUGUUUCGGACUAGCUGUUUUUUUAUUCAGUUUGAAACUACCAAUGUUUACUUCAGUUUGUCAUUCUGUUUGAUUGAGAAAUCUGUCAUCUAAGAUAGUUAUCUUGAUUGAUUCAGAAUACUCUUUAUCCUACUUUUGAAAUAGUUCAAUUGCACACUGAAACUCGUUGUCGGCAUGUUGUAUGCAGAGA